rnacentral:rRNA from 1 species
UACGUAGGGUGCGAGCAUUAUCCGGAUUUACUGGGCGUAAAGAGUUCUGUAGGUGGCGAUAUAAGUCAGAGGUUAAAUCCCCCAGCUCAACUGGGGAACCGCUUUUGAUACUGUAUAGCUAGAGACAGCUAGGGGGUAGUAGAACUUACGGUGAAGCAGUGAAAUGCGUUGAUAUCGUAGGGAAUACCAAGGGGGAAGCCAACUACCUGGGGCUGUUCUGACACUGAGAGACGAAAGCGUGGGGAGCAAAACGG